rnacentral:lncRNA from 1 species
CACGCCUGGCCCUAGGUAAGGACUUUUAACUCAAGGUGUGCUGAUCAAAACUUCGUCGCUGAAAUGAGCAUGGAAGAGAACCUCUUUCUUCUGGGCUCACCAACCUGAAAGAAUGUGAGUCUGCGCUGUUUGCCGCCACCUUCAUCUUGCUUUCGUGGGGAAAGCCUGACUGAAUAAUGAAGCCAAUCGGGACUGCUCUGCUGAGGACUGGCAAGGGAGAGAGAGAGCCCUGGGAUAAAUGCUUGAGCAACUGGACCAAACUGUGAAGAAUUCUAAAAUCAUCUUUUAUUUACCAGGUACACUCAAGAUUUGCUCCUACAAAUUCAGCAC